GGAGUUGGCUGGCACGGCGGGGAAGCUCCUCUCGUUUCCGGGACGCACGGACUCGGCGAAGUAGCGGGUGGCACGCAUGGCGGCCUCCACCACGUUGCUGGCUCCGGGAACACCGGCGGCAGGUCCAUUGGGAUAGAAGUCAACAUCACCGGAGCGGAUGGGGGUGCCCAUGCCGUAGACCGAGGUGUGGAUGGCGUCAACGAAUUCAGCAUCACCGCGAGCCAGACCGGUCAGGGUGUUCUUGCUCUUGGCCACGAUCUUGGAGGGAUCCAGACCGGUGACACGGCGCAGCUUGUGUCCGGUGAGACGGGUGAAUUCCUGGGCAGCGGCACCGGCAACAUGGGCACCCACAUUCUGGCCAAUCAGGUGAAUGGUAUCGAAGGGCAUGUCCAACUCGUUGACCAUCUGGACGAUCCACUUGCCGAUCUUGGCGCCGGUCUUCUCAAUGUCGAGCAUGGCAUAACGCUCAUAGGUGUUCAGCUUGGAGCCCAAAUCGAUCACAAUGAUGUCGCCGCUUUGGGUCUUGGCGUUCUUAACCUCCUCGCUGUAGUCCUCCUCGCUGCUGGUCCUCUGGUUCUUCCUCUGUUCGUUGCUCUGAUCCUGGUAGUCCUGGUUGCCGUUCUUGCCGUGCUGGCGCUGCUGCUGCAGAUUGUAGCGCUGCAUGUAAGCCUGAACCAGCUUCCUGGUCGCCUUCUUCACGGUCUCGCUGGUCUGGGGCAGUCCGGUCACAAUGAUGGUCACCUCAUCCUCACCAAAGUUCUGCUUCUGCUUCAGGCGCUGGAUCAUCUCGUUCAGGGGAGCAACGGUCUUGUCACCAUUGGGCUUGGGCACAUAGACCUGGAUGCCGCUGGGCACAUAGUUGGGCUCAACGUUGU
ensembl:ncRNA asRNA:CR45601 antisense RNA:CR45601